UACGUAGGGGGCAAGCGUUGUCCGGAUUUAUUGGGCGUAAAGAGCGUGUAGGCGGCCACACAGGUCAGCUGUGAAAACUCGAGGCUCAACCUCGAGACGUCGGUUGAAACCGUAUGGCUAGAGUCCGGAAGAGGAGAGUGGAAUUCCCGGUGUAGCGGUGAAAUGCGCAGAUAUCGGGAAGAACACCCGUGGCGAAGGCGGCUCUCUGGGACGGUACUGACGCUGAGACGGCGAAAAGCGUGGGGAGCGAACAGG
rnacentral:rRNA from 1 species